GCGAUGUCCCCCCCCACGUGUUGCUGACAGCAAUUGGCUAAGGGGCUGCGGCUCUCCGAAUACCCUCUCCCGCCCGGGACUGUGAAUGGACACCGGCGUUGUCAGUCACCGGUACCGCGCCGCGUGCGGGCCCUCCGCGGUCUUUCUUUCCGCCUUUCGCCGUUCAUUCCGACUUCAUCCCGGGCAAGUUCAGGGCAGCACGGGGCAGCAGAGGCGAGGGCCUUCAGCAGGGGAAGGCGGCCCGCGCGGCCCUGCUGUGACCUUCGCUUAUGUGAGGGGUGGGAUGCCCUGCUGGCCCAGCCUUGCCCUGCCCAUCAGUCUCCGAGGACCUCUGUGGGAGGACCUGGCCGCGGGCCCUGGGGUCCUAGAGCCAGGAGCACAGGCUGAAGCUCAGAGUAAGCUCUUUCAGUGCGUCUUGUCACUUACAAGCUACCGGUCCAUUAUAACCGUCUGGAGACAGCCUUUCCCUUCAAUUGCUCUGGAAUUAAAAGCAGAACAACAAUGCAGUGACUUUUGUGAGUUUUUUUAA
rnacentral:lncRNA from 1 species